rnacentral:rRNA from 1 species
CUCAGGAUGAACGCUAGCUACAGGCUUAACACAUGCAAGUCGAGGGGCAGCAUUUUAGUUUGCUUGCAAACUGAAGAUGGCGACCGGCGCACGGGUGAGUAACACGUAUCCAACCUGCCGAUAACUCCGGGAUAGCCUUUCGAAAGAAAGAUUAAUACCGGAUAGCAUACGAAUAUCGCAUGAUAUUUUUAUUAAAGAAUUUCGGUUAUCGAUGGGGAUGCGUUCCAUUAGUUUGUUGGCGGGGUAACGGCCCACCAAGACUACGAUGGAUAGGGGUUCUGAGAGGAAGGUCCCCCACAUUGGAACUGAGACACGGUCCAAACUCCUACGGGAGGCAGCAGUGAGGAAUAUUGGUCAAUGGGCGCGAGUCUGAACCAGCCAAGUAGCGUGAAGGAUGAAGGCUCUAUGGGUCGUAAACUUCUUUUAUAUGGGAAUAAAGUUUUCCACGUGUGGAAUUUUGUAUGUACCAUAUGAAUAAGGAUCGGCUAACUCCGUGCCAGCAGCCGCGGUAAUACGGAGGAUCCGAGCGUUAUCCGGAUUUAUUGGGUUUAAAGGGAGCGUAGGUGGAUUGUUAAGUCAGUUGUGAAAGUUUGCGGCUCAACCGUAAAAUUGCAGUUGAAACUGGCAGUCUUGAGUACAGUAGAGGUGGGCGGAAUUCGUGGUGUAGCGGUGAAAUGCUUAGAUAUCACGAAGAACUCCGAUUGCGAAGGCAGCUCACUAGACUGUCACUGACACUGAUGCUCGAAAGUGUGGGUAUCAAACAGGAUUAGAUACCCUGGUAGUCCACACAGUAAACGAUGAAUACUCGCUGUUUGCGAUAUACAGUAAGCGGCCAAGCGAAAGCAUUAAGUAUUCCACCUGGGGAGUACGCCGGCAACGGUGAAACUCAAAGGAAUUGACGGGGGCCCGCACAAGCGGAGGAACAUGUGGUUUAAUUCGAUGAUACGCGAGGAACCUUACCCGGGCUUAAAUUGCAACAGAAUAUAUUGGAAACAGUAUAGCCGUAAGGCUGUUGUGAAGGUGCUGCAUGGUUGUCGUCAGCUCGUGCCGUGAGGUGUCGGCUUAAGUGCCAUAACGAGCGCAACCCUUAUCUUUAGUUACUAACAGGUCAUGCUGAGGACUCUAGAGAGACUGCCGUCGUAAGAUGUGAGGAAGGUGGGGAUGACGUCAAAUCAGCACGGCCCUUACGUCCGGGGCUACACACGUGUUACAAUGGGGGGUACAGAAGGCGGCUACCUGGUGACAGGAUGCUAAUCCCAAAAACCUCUCUCAGUUCGGAUCGAAGUCUGCAACCCGACUUCGUGAAGCUGGAUUCGCUAGUAAUCGCGCAUCAGCCAUGGCGCGGUGAAUACGUUCCCGGGCCUUGUACACACCGCCCGUCAAGCCAUGAAAGCCGGGGGUACCUGAAGUACGUAACCGCAAGGAGCGUCCUAGGGUAAAACUGG